CGGCGAGUAGCGCAGCUUGGUAGCGUGGUAGCGCAACUGGUUUGGGACCAGUGGGUCGGAGGUUCGAAUCCUCUCUCGCCGACCA
rnacentral:tRNA from 1 species